AUACGUAGGUGGCAAGCGUUGUCCGGAAUUAUUGGGCGUAAAGCGCGCGCAGGCGGUCCUUUAAGUCUGAUGUGAAAGCCCACGGCUCAACCGGGGAGGGUCAUUGGAAACUGGGGGACUUGAGUGCAGAAGAGGAAAGUGGAAUUCCAAGUGUAGCGGUGAAAUGCGUAGAGAUUUGGAGGAACACCAGUGGCGAAGGCGACUUUCUGGUCUGUAACUGACGCUGAGGCGCGAAAGCGUGGGGAGCAAACAGGAUUAGAUACCCUGGUAGUCCACGCCGUAAACGAUGAGUGCUAAGUGUUAGGGGGUUUCCGCCCCUUAGUGCUGCAGCUAACGCAUUAAGCACUCCGCCUGGGGAGUACGGUCGCAAGACUGAAACUCAAAUGAAUUGACGGGG
rnacentral:rRNA from 1 species